AGCUCUGGAGGCUCUUGACUUGCUUCUGGGCUUCAGCAGCCAUGCGGUUGGCAUGGCUGAGCUGGAUCUCCAUCUCAUUGAGGUCGCCCUCCAUCUUUUUCUUCACCCGCAGGGCCUCAUUGCGGCUGCGUGUCUCUGCAUCCAGGGAGGUCUGCAGCGAGUCCACCACCCGCAGGUGGUUGCGCUUGGCCUGCUCCAUCUCCUCGUCCUUCUCUGCCAGCUUCCGCUCAAUCUCUGCCUUGAUCUGGUUGAACUCCAGCUGGGCUCGAAGGAUCUUGCCCUCUUCAUGCUCCAGGGAGGCCUGGGAGGAGGGUGGGGAGAGAGGUCUGAGGCUGACAGUUAGUGCCCAGGGUGUGUGUGGUGGGCUUCUGUCCACAAACCAUGGAUAUAGAGAGUGUGAGAAUGAUGUAAGUGACUCAGUCAGAGAAGGAGAAAGAAGAAGGAAGAAAGAGAAUGUACCAGGCAAAUGAAAACAAGCCUAAGAAAAGGUGAUUCAGGCCCUCACAGUGGAGAGCCAGGCAUGAAGACAAAGAGGAAAAUGACGAGAAAGGUGUUGCCAAGGAAACGGAGGCAAUCAGGCACAGAGUGUUAAAAACACAAAGAGGCAGGCAGAGGCGGGAGGGGAGGUGAGUGGAAAUGGGAACUCAUCUAGGGUACAAUAAGUGAAAUGUUUGCAUGGAGUUGAGCGGUCCCACAUGCAUUCUUUCCCCAAAUAUUUUUUGAGUGCCUGCUAUGAGCCAGGCACUGUCCUGAUGGGUCAGUGUGCAAAACAGACCAAGGGGAGAUGAGAGCAGAGACUGCAGCCAUGAGUUUGGCCUCUGCCACCCCUUCCCCACCCCACCCUAUGCACCCACCUCAGCCUCCUCCAGGGCUGACUGCAGCUCCAGCUUCUCAGCCUCUAGCUGCUUGCGGACUUUCUCCAGCUCGUGGAUACUCUUUCCACUUGAACCCAGCUGCUCAGUCAGGUCAGAGAUCUCCUCUGUGUGAAGGACAUGUGACUCAGUUGGGGACUGCUGUGGUCCAAAAUGGGCUGGAGGCAUGUCUCUUUGCUUAGGCCACCUUUGGGGUCCCUGGGCAGACCCUCCAUGGGGACAUUGCACAUGUGGACCCUCCCUGCCUUGGGGAUGCUCACCCUGCAGGUUCUUGUUUUCCCUCUUGAAGGUCUCCAGGUGCUCCAGCGACUCCUCAUAGGCGUUCUUGAGCUUGAAGAGCUCGGUGCUGAGGGAACGCGCCUCCUUCUGCGAAGACUCCAGCUCGGACUGUGACUCCUCAUACUUCUGCUUCCACUCGGCCAGGAUCUGCAAGGGACGAGGCUCACUGUGCAGCCUCCGAAUCCAGUCCCAUGUCCAGGUGCUUCAGGCCCCUUGCCUAGGCUCAGCCUUCCUCCCCUGCCUCCGAGGAGGUGGGCUCUGGCCUUGCACUGGUACCAUGCCUGUGGCCCUCCAGACCUGCACACUGGCUGUGGCCCCACCCAUGACCCACCUUGUCAAAGUUCCUCUGCUUCUUGUCCAGGGCCGCGGCGGCAGCGUUAGAGCGCUCCACGUCCACCAUCAGGUCCUCGAUCUCGUUCUGCAGCCGGUGCUUGGUCUUCUCCAGGGAAGAGCACUUGGCGUUGACGGCCUCCACGGCCUCCUCUGCAUCCUGUAGCCUCUGGGCCAGCUUCUUCCUGCCCAGCGAAGGGUGGGAGAGGAUGAGGAAGAACGAGGGUGUAGAUUUGGACAAGAGAAAACAACAUGAACCGUUCAGAAGAUAACCUUGAAAACUUAGAAGUAGUGUUCAGAGAAGCCUAAAGACAGGCCCCAGGGACUGAGAACUGGGCAGGCAGAGUAUCUCAGUGGCAGGCGUGGAAGACCUGCAGCACCUGGGAGGGGUGGGGGUGGUGUCCCUCUGUCCCUAGACAAGCCUCUCGGCUGUGAUGUGGAGGGGGCAUGGGCUUCUGCAGACCCUCCCCUCCCACACCACAGUGCCCCGCCCCAUGGGAGCACUCAGCCCUCAGACAAACCUUUUGUUCGUCUUAUAUUCGGAUGAGAAACAUAACGCGAGCAAAAAGCUUCCCCGAGAGGAGCAGGAGGUGGGGCUGGGGCAGGGUCCUCCUCUAUUGUCAAACACUAGCUAAACAUCCCCUGUGUGGAAGCUACUAAGAAGAGGACUUGGCAGAAAGUCCUGACCUCAAAGGGGCUUCAGCCAGAGGCCAGCUGAUUGGGACUCACUUGGCCUCCUCCAGCUCCUCUGUUCUCUGGAUGGCAUCUGUCUCAUACUUGGUCCUCCAUUGGGCCACCUCUGAGUUGGCCUUGGAUAGGACACGCUGCAGCUCAGCCUUGGCCUCUGUCUCUUCCUCAUACUGUUCCCGCAGCAGGUCACAGUCAUGCCGGGCCGACUGCAGUGCGUGGGCCAGGGCGUUCUUGGCCUAGGGAGAGGUGGACACCAGAAGCAGGGUCAGCUUCAUCCAUGAGGCAACACCAGCCCUUGCCCAUCUCCUCACGCCAAUCUCAACUUGCUCCCUAGGCUUCCCCAGUGGACCUGGCACAUUUUGCUGAGUAUUAAUAACAAUGAGCGCCAGUACGAUGGCAGCCAUCUCACCACUGCAACUUAUGGGGGAAAGAGAGACUCAGAGAGGUCAGGAGGUUUCCCCAAGAUCACCAGGCUAUACGAGGCAGGUCCCAUUUUCUGGAGAGACGCUAUGCAUGUGCAUGUGAAGGGUGUAUGUACCUGAACCUGUGGUGGCUCAGGAGGCCCAGACACUGGGAUCCAGGCUUACCAUUCUCAGUCUGCAGCUUGGCCCGCUGGCUGGUGAGGUCAUUGACAGAACGCUGGGUCUCCUCAGCCUUGCUUCGAUGCUCAUUCAUCUGGUCCUCUAGGGUCCGGCACAUCUUCUCCAGGUUUGCCUGAGAGAGGGAUGAACAAUGCAUGGAUGUUGGGGGUGGGGGCUGAAAGGAGUGAAGGGGAGCAAUUAAAGGAGAAAAGAAGAGGGAAAGUACGGAAGGGAGGAGGGGAUUAGAGAACCAUGUAGAAGAAGGCGAGUAGGAAAAGGAGCCAUCAAGGAAGAAAGAAAAAAAAAGGGGGAAAAGUGGUGACAGGUAGAGGGUCCUGGAGGAGGGGACUGGUGGAGCUGGGCUCACCUUGGCCUUGAUGAUCUGCUCCAUGUUGGAGGUGACAUCGUCCAGCUCCAGCUUGAACUCGCUCUUCUCCUUCUCCAGCUUCUGCUUCACCCGCUGCAGGUUGUCGAUCUGCUCACCCAGCUCGGCCACACUGUCAGCGUGCUUCUUGCGCAGGGCUGCGGCUGUGGCCUCGUGCUGCAGCGUGGCCUCCUCCAGGUCCCUCCUCAUCUUCUGGAACUCGGCCUCUCGCUUCUUGUUCAUCUCGAUCUGCACAGAUGUGGCCCCUCCGGCCUCCUCCAGCCUCUCACUGAUCUCCUCCAGCUCUCGGGACAGGUCUGAGCGCAGCUUCUCCACUUUGGCCCUGGCCGUGCGCUCAGCCUCCAGCUCCUCCUCCAGCUCCUCAAUGCGUGCCUGGGCCCAGAUGUGAAGGGUUUAGACCACCUGCUUGGACCCCUCCAUUGGGCCCUCACCCCAAGGCUCUAAGACUCCUAGCCCGCUAGGAACAUUAAGUGAGUUUAGCUCUACUAGAGAGGUGGGCAUGAAAGCAUUUGGGGAAGGUGGCUUGAACAGCAGAGUUAGCCUUCCUUUGGGUGGAUGCUAUACAUUCUCUUUAUUGAAAGGAAAGCAGUUGAAGCUUGAUCUUAAAGGACAAAGAGGUCUAGGGCAUUUAAAUCAGUUAAAAGAAAAAAAAAAAAGACCAAAGUUUAAAAGCAGUAUCUGUCUUAUUAGACAACUGUAGAUCUAACUCAGUGUCUGCUGUUGAGAUAAGAACCUCAGAGUUCACUGUCGGUGUUGAAAGGCUCUUAACAGUCACCGGUAACAGGGGAAGGCAUGGAGACCCAGAAAUCUGGAGCAGUCUUCCCAUAUUCACCCAGCUAAGGCUGAGCUGAGACAGGAAACCAGGAUUUCUACCCUCCAGACGUAGACCUUUUCAGGGUCUCUUCUGAUGUUUUCCUUGGAUCACACAGCCCUUUUAGGGGACACUGUGAUAGCUUUGUGUGUCCUUUCAUGAACACAAGGUAAGCUCCUAUAAUUCUCAGGGAUGGGACAUUCUGCAGGAGGGAAGCAGGGAGGCUGAGAACCAACUCAAAGACUGCAGAGUCCAGCCUAGGCUUUCUAGACCUCACCUGAAGCUCUUUGAGCUUCUUCUGCAGCUGGCUUCCCAGGGCCUGUUCAUCUUCAAUCCUGGCAUUGAGUGCAUUCAGCUCAAAGUCCUUCCUGUAGGGAAGAAUUGAGGGUGAGGUAAGGCUAGCUGUGCUCUCUAGAGGCCCAAUAGCAAUCACUGGAGAUUACAAUGAAACAAAUAGAGAAUAGGAUUUAAUCAGAAAAUUGUCCAGGGGUAUGUAGGAUCCCUGAACACCUGCCAUAGGAUUGAAGUCCAACAAUAAUGUAGUGGGAAUAGCCUGGUAAACUGGGCUCUGUGGGUCUUUCCUCUCUUUUUUUCUUCUAUCUGAAAAAUGAGAAGAUUGGACUAGCUCAUUUUUAGUUUGUCAUUGUUACUUUGGACAACUUGUUAACCUUUAUGAGCCUUAGUUUCCUUGGUAGGACUCAAGAUACCAUCUUUAAAAUGUGGCUGAAGAUGGCUGGGGAGGCUGAAGCAGGGGGAUCAUAAGUUCAAAGCCAACCUCAGCAACUUAGAGAGGCACUAAGCAACUUGGAAAGACCCUGUCUUUAAAUAAAUUAUAAAAAGUUCUGUGGAUGUGGCUCAGUGUAAGUGCCUCUGGGUUCAAUCCCCAGUACCAAAAAAAAAAAAAAAAAAAGGUGGCUGAGGAACUAAUGGAGUCCUAGAUUGAUUCAUUCAUUCAGUAAAUUCUGCACCUGGGAAAGUGAGAAGACCCCUGUGCAAACACAAGUUGAGGUACCAUAAGAUCUUCAGGUAUCAAAAUAUGUUAUACAACUCACCAUUCACCAAGUCUGGAAGGUGGGUGUGUAUACUUUGGGAGGAUUUGAAAUAAUUGGGACCACAAGUUACUCAGAAAAAGAAAUGAACUGGCCCCUCCACUUCUUGGGCAUGUGGGCAGACUCAUUUCUUUGUAGCUUUCUGGGUUCUCUCUGAAAAACCUAAAGGGACUUUCCUGAGAGAUCUUGUGUGACGGCUUCCUCCACGUCAAGGAACUGAUCUCAAAUAGAAUCAUGUACAAAAGGGACCAAGCACUUGUUUUCAUCCCUACUGAGUGCCCCAUAAGAAGAAAGGGCUUGAGGGAUCCAGGUAAAACUUUUUGCCAGGGAGGACAACAAGACCCUGAUGUAUGGGUCUUGGGGAGCACAGCCCUCUUCCAGGGGACCUUUGCUGAAGUUUAAGCAUCUUGUUAUGGACGCUACCUGAGGGCGUUGCCUCUCAGGUUGGGUGUCAGCUUGUCUUGCUAUGGGCAGAGCAGGCUGUAGGGCUGGGGAGGAGGAAAGGUAGUGAGGAGCAGAACAUUGUACUUUUUUAGCCGCUCAUCUAGCUGCUGCUUGUCAUUCUCCAGGUCCAUGAUGCUCUCUUGGGUCAGCUUCAGGUCACCCUCCAGUUUCCUCUUCGCUCGCUCCAGAUCCAUGCGCACCUUCUUCUCCUGCUCCAAGGAUCCCUCCAGCUGGUGAAGACAAGGCCCAGCCAUGCCCCAUGAGCUGGCCCUCCACAAGUGACUGUGAGUGUGCAAGUGGCUCCCUGGCUCACAUCAAAGAUCUCGAAGCCAGCGAUGUCCAGGACUCCUAUGAAGUACUGGCGUGGCUGCUUGGUCUCCAGGGUGGCGUUGAUGCGUGUCACCAUCCAGUUGAACAUUUUCUCAUACACCGCCUUGGCCAGUGCUCCGGUGGCAUAUAUCACCUGUGAGGUAGGGGAAAGACCCAGAUGAACAGACUUACCAGGAGGAAGGAAUUUGAAAGCUCCCACCUCUCCAUACUAAGAUCCCCACCCCAUCCAUUUUAUCUUCUGAAAAUGACCCACCUGCUGGACAUUCUGUCCCUUGGUGACAUACUCAUUGCCCACUUUCACCCGAGGGUGGCACAGCCCCUUGAGCAGGUCAGCUGAGUUCAGCCCCAUAAGGUAGGCGGACUUGUCAGCCUCUAAAAGGAAAAGUCAAGUAGCAAAUUUGGUAAGGGCUCGACUGCUCAGCACAUGUGGCCCUCAGUGACUCUGCCCAGCUUCCCUGACUCCCACCUUCAGUGCCAUCGGGCUCCGCCUGCUCCUCCCGCUGCUUCUGUUUGAACUUCAUGUUUCCAAAGUGCAUGAUGGCGCCUGUCAGCUUGUAAAUGGAGCUCUUCUCUUCUGAAGUGAAGCCCAAUACAUCAAAGGCAUUCUGCAGGCAGACCCCAAAUUGGAGGAGCCCAGAAAAGGAAGUAUGACUGGUAAAUGAGAUCACUCAUAAA